UACGGAGUGUGCAAGCGUUACCCGGAAUCACUGGGCGUAAAGGGCGCGUAGGCGGUUUGUGAAGUCGGUUGUGAAAUCCCUCAGCUCAACUGAGGAACUGCAGCCGAUACUGCUGAACUCGAGGACGAAAGGGGAGAGUGGAACUUCUGGUGGAGCGGUGAAAUGCGUAGAUAUCAGGAGGAACACCCAUGGCGAAGGCAGGUUACUGGGCAGUAUCUGACGCUGAGGCGCGAAAGCGUGGGUAGCAAACAGG
rnacentral:rRNA from 1 species